CCCAGCUUCAUAGGGAAAGGAAUCCCCGCAUUCCUGUGGCACUUCAAGAGAAGGCAGUCUCGACUUGAAACUCGAGAGGAACUCCAGCGAUUUUCCCACAAUUCAAAAAGAGCCUGAUGUCCCAAUCCACUCCAGAUAAACCUGAUUCCCCUGCACUGACUCGACUGUCACGCCGAAAAUCAACUCAAAACACCUUGGCACGUGUGACAGCCCUGUGGCCCCUCAAGAGAGAGCCACAGAUCCCUAUGUCAACUCAGCCGGGACCCUGACACUACUUUUACAGCUCAAGAGGAAAGCGGACUUGCAUGUCUCCAUACAAGACGAGGCCUGACUCCCCUGUGGAAACUCCAUAGGAAUCCUGAGAUCCAUGUCAGUACUGGAGAGAAAUCUUACGUUCUGACCUCAAAAGUAGCAGAGACCAUUGGCCCCUGCGUUGACUGGAGAGGAAUCCCGAGAGGCCCCUCACAACUCGCAUGGAGACUUGACUUUCCUGAGGAAACAUGAUCGGGUACCUGACAUCUCUGUCGUAACUCAAGAGGAACCCCAAGUUUCCUGCCGCAACUCGAGAAAAACCAGGAGAUUCUCCCAUCUAUGCGAGAUGAGGCCCUUUUCGGCUGCAGCAUCUUGAGAGAAAUCCCACAUUCUCUAUUGAGCCUUGAAAGUGUCUUUGACACCCUUGAUGCAACUCAAGCAGUUUUCCUACAUCCCCUUCUCCAAUCGUGAGUAACACCGAGAGUGCCCUGGCACAACUCAAGAAGAGCCCCGUUUUUCCCUCCUCAUCUCGACAUGAGGGUCUGCCUUGAGCCAGCAGAGGAGAUCCCAACCAUGACAAAGGUCAUGAGGACGAGUCCUUACAGGUGCCACAGGGCUAUCACACCUGCCAUCGUGUUCUGAGUCAAUCCUCGGGAUGACCGUCGAGUCAGUGCAGGGGAGUCAGGUGUAUCUGGAGCAGAUUGAGACAUCGGGGUCUUUUGGAAUUGUGGCACGACCCCUGGAUGCCCCUCAAGGUUCAAGUUGAGACCGCCUCCUCUUGAGUUGCAACAGGAAUGCCGGGAUUCCUUUCCCGACGAAGCAGGGAAAUGGACCCACAUCUCAAGAUGAGGAGGAAAAACCGGGGCUCUUCUUGAGUUGUGGCAGGACCUUCGGUGUUCCUCUCGAGUGGAGACGGGUAUGUUGGGGAACUUCUUGUGUUGCCUCAAGGGUGUCAAGAACCCUUUAAAGGCUCAAGAGGGAAGGUGGAAUUUCUCUCGAGACACCGCAGGGGAAAGAGGCCUCAUCUCGCAUUGAGGGGAGAAUCUCCUGGUUUUACUCAAGUUGGAACAAGGAAAUAGGGGUCCCAUUCGAGUUACAACGGGGACCUCUUGGGACCCACUCGUGUUGCCUCAGAAAGGCCAGUCUCCAUGUAAACUGUGAGGGUCCUCAUACCACGCUCUCUGGAAUCAACGUACAGUUAAGGCACGGCCCCUCUGCAGAAGGCACUGCUCCAGCCCCACGCCAUCCAAGCUCGACGAGCCUCCUAGACGACCUCUUGGUGGCCACGGGUAUGCUGGCCUUACUGGGCCCUUCCCCGGGGGCCAAUGCCUUCCAAGGGGUGGACCCUGCCCUCCCAGGCGCACCCAGCCUCCUCGACGAGCUCUUGGCCGCUUCGGGCAUCCCGGACACGAAGGUGCCUUCCCCAGGAGCCGCUGCCGACCAAGGGGUGGACCCUCCCUUCCCAAGCGCACCCAGCCUCCCAGACGAGCUCUUGGCAGCCACGGGUGUCCCAGACACGAAGGCGCUUUCCCAGGAGCCGCUGCCGUCCACAGGUUGGACCCUGCCCUCCCAGGUGCACCCAGCUUCCUAGAUGAGCUCAUCGCCGACACGGGCAUCACGGACAUGAAGGUGCCUUCCCCGGGAGCCGCUGCUGACCAAGGGGUGGACCCUGCCCUCCCAAGCACAUCGAGCCUCCUACACGAGCUCUUGGCAGCCAGGGGUGUGCCAGCCUCGUCAGAGCUUUCCCUGGAGGCCUUGACAGUUGUAGCGCAACAACCAGCUCUCGCUGGCACACCCAGCCUCUUAGAGGAAAUCUUGGCUGCCACUGGCAUCCACGCCACCCCAGGGCCUUUCCUGGGGCCCUGUGCCGAUGAACAGGCACACCUCGCCCUCCCAGGCUCACCAAGACUCCAAGACGCGCUCCUGGCUGCCCCGGGCAUCCCAAGUUCACCGGGUCCUUUUCCGGGGUCCUCUCCUGUCGUCACAGGGGCCCACCCAGCCUUCCCCGGGUCACCCAGCCUCCUAGAGGAAAUCUUGGCUGCCAUGGCCACGCAGGACACGCCCUGGUCUCCUCUGGGGGCCCCUGUGGGGGACGAGGGAGUUGAGGCCAUCCUGGAAGCACCCCUCAGUCAGGAGGAUUACGAGGCCCUCCUCAACAUGCUGCCAGGCUCCCCAGGUCCUCGGGCUUAGAGGGAGAGGAAGGGAGGGGCACCUUCUCCCCCUGUCCACGUUCAGGUCUCCUUGCCUGGGAUGCUCGGGGAAGGGGGGGCGGUUUUGUGUGUGGGAAGAGGAGAGAAUACCGACAGGAUGUCUACCAACAACUCUGGGGACAAACCCGAGAGCUGGACCUUUGGGAAGCUGGGCCCCACCCCGAAACAGGGACACCCUACUUGAAGCCUCAAGUAAUUCCUGCAUGGCAAUGACCAAGAGGGUGCCAAAGAGGGAACAUUCCAUGGACACAAGACAGAAACCCCGUGCCCCACACAGGUGCUUUGGGUCUGGCUCUUCUGACUUCUGGUCCCAUCCUUCCAGCAGUCCACCCAGGAGAACUCCUUCCCUACACCAGGAGCAGCAGAGGGAGGGGGAGCAGGAGACAGUGGAGUGAAAAGGUGGAAAGGUUGGGAGAUGCAAGGUGGGAGUGGGUGGGGGUGAAGGGAGAGAGUGGGGGUGAAGGGAGAGAGGGAGAGAGAGGGUGGGAGGCAGGGAGAGUUGGGUACAGUGGGAGGGAGAGGCGGUAGGGGAGAGGAGGGGGGCGGAGCCCGAGCCUGGGACUCAGCGUCAAGCACCUGGCAAACCCUGCAGGUAUCACUAAAAUGCUGCGUCAGGGACACGUUGCCCUCAGUUUGAGGGUGCCUGCUGUGGCCGGGUGUUCGGAAGUCAGAGCCUCCGAGCCAGCAGUAGGGACCUACUACCCACACAACCGCUGUCUCGACCAGACUCAACCAUGUCCAUGUGUACACCGAUGCCAGGCAUAUCAGGAAAGGCCAGUCAUCUCCGUGUCUCUCUCUGACCCUCCCAGUAUGGAAUGACUGAGCUCGCCCUGCCACCAGCAUCCUCCCGUCACCUGCAGACAUACAGAUGGUCUUUACUUGCAAACCCGUUCCUGAAUUCAUGGACCCAAUGGUUUCGAAGUCCGUACGAACCCCUGCCUGUUCCCAUGUGAACCCCCGUGGUGGGUUUAGAAACCUGGGUGUCCAAAGAAUACACUGCCAAAGACGGUUGGGGUGUGUGCUGUUGUGGUUUGUCCAUUUCUCUUCAACUCACUCUUUUCACCUUGUUCACAGUGAAAAAAGAAGUGUCUCUCAUCGUCCAUCCCCCAUGUUGUUUCAGGCAGCCUUCCUCCUUCUUUGUCUGCUCUGGCCUCCUGAUUCCUUCCUCGUCCUCCUCCUUGUCCUCCUCCUCCUGCUCGCUGCGCUCUGUCUCUCUGAGAAAGCACACACUCUUUCAUGUCCCGUUGUUGGAACAGGUCAGGGCUUUGCUCUGUCCAGAACGUCCAUGCUGCCUUCCUUGGCUUAGGGGAACCUCCUUCGCAACAGUAGGGGGUACACUGUCCCCUUGGGCGGGUAUCUCCAGGGCACUUAUGCUGGGGGGUUGCCUGGGGAGGCGUGGGCCUCAGGGUCCACAUGAGAAAAGCCCCAAAUGGUGAGAGCUGCCGUUCCAGAUACUGGCCCUUCAGGUCUCUGGCCAGAGCCUUGAGCUCCAGGCAACUCAAAGCCUUCGGGGGUGGUGGUCUGGGACUGCUGUAGGGAAAGGACGCCAAGAGGGCAAGGAAGAGUUUGGGAGGGGCAUGGGGAACGGAGGCAAGGACAGCAAAGAAUCUAGGUGGAGGCACUGGAGAGAGAAAGUCCAGUGUCCCAGAAUGCCUCCGAGGAGCUGGCAGGGGGCAAUCGAGGCCAAAGGACUUGUGGAAUGUGAAAAGGCAGGAAACCCCAGAGCGGUUUUGAAGGCAAGGCAGGCUGGGAAAGGGGGUGUGGGCGGCCACUUCACAGGGCCCUAGGGGCGUUCCCGGGCAGUUAGCUCUCUUGGUACUGCUGAGAGUCCCUGAGCCCGGGGUUGAUCCCACUCCCUGCUGCGCGGGAGGACCACAAACCAAAGACCCCGAACUGCCCGCCCACCCAGACCGGGACCUUGGCGGUCUGAGGCACAGGCCGUGCCUGCCCAGGAAAGCCCACUCUCUCCACCAGACUCCAUCCAGGGUCUCUGCUUGGAAAGAGGCCAGGGUAGUCCCCUUCAUCUACGCACCGAAACCCUAUUUACAUCAAUGUGGGCGGAGCCUCCUCCCGCUCUCCAAAGUCCUGAGCUGCUGGGUCCCGGCCCACUAGGCCAGCAGUCUUCAGCGUCUGUGUGGCUCUCCCACCAUGGCUUCCUGCAGGUCCUCCAGCACCUCAAGCGUAACGUUUGCCCUUCGUCCCUGGGAUCGGAUCACAUCUCAGGGAACUUGCAGAUCACCCAGCCAAGGGUUCUCAGCAACCUUGUCCACCCACCACCAAGAGUGGUGGGGACCGAUCGGCCGGGCCCAUGUUUCCCAGGUGUCAGAUGUGCCCAAAGGGGGCAUUGUUCGUUCGUCUUACUGCUUUGGCACACAUAUGGCUUUUCUGUUCUCUUUUCUGGGAAGAUGGUGUAGUGUCGGGGGCGGGGUGCAGGGUGCGGGGUGCGGGAUGUGGGGCCUGGAGGUGUUCGGGAGGGGGUGCUGUGCUGGGAUGAGGCCCUUUAUCCUCACAUCUUCCUGUGGGAAUGGCUUUCUGGGAGCUUUGUGGCUUUGCCGCCUUCAGUGGCUUCCUCUCCCCAGUGGCCUAGUGCCUUCUGCCUUCCCUCGGGCAUUGCGGGUUUGGGCUUCGCUUUGGCUUCCUUCCCUUUCCUUUUCCACUAGUAACGGCAAACAUGGCCCUUGCUCAUGUCAGCCCCGGAAGGCCAGGUUCCCUCCCACUAGCAACGUGAUGGAGGGAAAUCUGGGAGCAGCCCCAUCGAGAAGUCUCCCCGGCAUCUCCCCCAGUCGGGUGGAAACAUAUGGCAGGAUACUGUGGUGGUCUUCGGUGGGUGGGAUUUCUUGCUGCCUUUGUUUUGGGGCUGGGUUUGGUUUCCUGCCUGCCUGCUGGUGUUUCUUGCAUUCCGGCAUGGGGUGGGGGUGGUGGAUGUCCCCACCGCCCUUGCCUCUCAGCCUGGCUGUAUGGGUGUAGCCAAGUGACUUCCAAAGGCACACCCGCCCCCAGGCUCCCAGUUUUGCUCAGGCACAGGGACAAGUCCUCUGGGCAGGGAGCAUGCUUGGGCUCCUCCGUCCAGUCGUCCCGCAUGUGCUCUGAGACUUUGCCCUUCCUGCUCUUCUUCCACAGGGCCCGUCACCACAGGAUCUCAAAGGAGGAAGCUCCUUCUGAAGCUGAGCCAGAAGGACGCCCUGCAAGCGCUCUUUCAAGCGAAACCCUACCCUCGGAUCGCGACCAGAGAACGGCUGCCCUGGGAGCUUGGCAUUGCCCAAAGCAGAGUUCAGGUAGGCCCCCGUCUCUGCCCCUGUUCUCCCUUUCAGGCUCUCCAUGCCGAUCCGAGUCAGCUGAAAGCACCUGGCAGCCUUUCUCCUGAGAAGGAAUUCUCUCUGUUUGCCCCUAAGUCUGGUUUCAAAAUCAACGCAGAAGACAGUUAAAGCAGAGCCGAUCGCCGUCUGAAUAUGUGCACCAAGAAGGGGAAGCGGGGCCAACGUCCACGCCCAUGCCACUGACACCCUCUCCUUGACCUCAGUCUUCCUCUCCAGGUAACUUAGCUAGAGUUCUCCAAAAGCAAGUCCCCUAGAGGGGGUCCCGAAACCUCCCCAUCUUGCCAGAGAGUUCUCUCUGCUGGUGGAUGGCCACGGG
ensembl:lncRNA